GUAAUUGUAGUUUAAUCAAAACGUUAGAUUGUGAUUCUAAAAACAGAGGUUAAAACCCUUUCAUUUGCC
rnacentral:tRNA from 1 species